AACGAACGCUGGCGGCAUGCCUAACACAUGCAAGUCGAACGAGACCUUCGGGUCUAGUGGCGCACGGGUGCGUAACGCGUGGGAACCUGCCCUUAGGUUCGGAAUAACUCCCCGAAAGGGGUGCUAAUACCGGAUAAUGUCUUCGGACCAAAGAUUUAUCGCCUUUGGAUGGGCCCGCGUUGGAUUAGCUAGUUGGUAGGGUAAAAGCCUACCAAGGCGACGAUCCAUAGCUGGUCUGAGAGGAUGAUCAGCCACACUGGGACUGAGACACGGCCCAGACUCCUACGGGAGGCAGCAGUGGGGAAUAUUGGACAAUGGGCGAAAGCCUGAUCCAGCAAUGCUGCGUGAGUGAUGAAGGCCUUAGGGUUGUAAAGCUCUUUUACCCGGGAUGAUAAUGACAGUACCGGGAGAAUAAGCUCCGGCUAACUCCGUG
rnacentral:rRNA from 1 species